GCCACAAAUAAGAGCUUUUCAGGCAAGCCCUAACCUCAUCAGCUCGGGUUCCCCGUGGUAUUACCGGUAAGGUUUGUCGGAAAUCACCACAAAAUAAAACCGUGAUACCGCCCAUUGGUCGAUCAUUUUGUCUUAUAUCCCUUAAAGUUCUAUCUACCGCUUCUACUGCUUUUCGAUGGGCCAUCGUACAUUCAUCCCAUAUGAUUAAAUUACACUCGCGUAAUACCUUUGCUUUGUCGCUAUUUCUUGAAAUACUACAGGUUGGACUUUCCGUGCGAUCUAAAUCAAUUGGUAUUUUGAACAUAGUGUGAGCCGUUUUACCUCCUGGUAGCAAUGUUGCAGCUAUCCCAGAUGAAGCUACGGCAAGAGCUAUUUUACGCUGAUUUCGAACAUAAGCCAAUAUUAAUUUAGUCAAAAAGGUUUUCCCAGUUCCUCCAGGUGCAUCUAAAAACCAUAUUGUUCCCAAAUUAUUUUGAACACUUCCGCACACACGGUCAUAAACUGAACGUUGUUCUGCAGUCAUCAUUGGGACACCGUUUUCUAAUGUUGUCAGCAGUUCCAUUAAGUUGUAACCAAUCUCUGCGGAAUAUUCCCUAUUAGUUACCUCUCCGACUGAGGUUGGUGUUGGCAAACCAUAUUCACAUAGUGAUUUACCGCCAACUGCUGUUAACUCAUCCUGAAGAGCUAAUAAGCACUGAUUUAUGGCAAGAUCACGGAAAUUAUCAUUAGUUGUGCCUUCAUCAUUGUUAGAUAUAUUUCUAAGAAAGUCUUCUGAAAAUUUGUCUUUAUAUUUUUCCCAUAAUUGUACAGCAUCUGACAAAUUACAAAAUGUAAGUAAUGUUACAAAUAAAUGACGUAACCGUCUUGGAUUAUCACUAACACAGGAUUCUGCUAAAGCGUCAUCCCAAUGCUGAUCAUUUUCAAGCAAAUGACGCGCUUGGCAAGCUGCAUGAUAACUGGGAUAAACAACAUUGUCUACUUUUCUCAAAUCUAUAAAUGAGGUUGGUCCUCGCACAGUAUGUAAUAAUAAUCGCAAAUAGAAACACUCAGCGUUGUUAGGAUGAACGGUGUAUACUCUACCAAGAACAUGUUCUUUGAAAAUACCUGACUCGCCAUCUACAGGCCUGCCACGGCGUCUACGAUUAAAGACACCUCGUUGCUUAUCGUAGGUAUAAUACGAUGGAACUUCUUCAUAUAAAAGAGAUUUUGCAAAAUCAUCAGUUUGGCAAAGUCGAAAGAAUGCUAAUAAAGUUGUUUGUCUAGGGUUCUCUAACCGUUCUGUGACAUUUUCGGUGUUGAAAUAUAUACGUUGACCGCCUUCAAGAUGAACAUCCAGAUGGGUCACAGGUGGAUAUCUUUCAUGAAUGUUGAAACUUAAGAUCCGCCACACAGCUUCUGAAGAACUUAUAUAUCUGCCUGACUGAAAUCUUGUAACUUCAUCAUUUUCAUUUCUCAAAGCAAAUGUAGCUUGGUCACUGCCCUUAUUAAUGUACUUACAAAUAUAUUUUAUUGACUCUACACUAUUACACAUUUCAACAUUUAUGUGAGCUUGAAAUGCUCUGGACAACACAGGAGAAUACGGAACGACCCACCUAUUGUCUAAAAUAACCUGUUGUCCAGACACUCGCUUUUCAACAGUGAAACCACCAGUAUCUCUUGAACGGCGACGAUAUUUCGGGUAUCCAUCAUGUCCUGUUACAGUUUCUUCCACUAAGGCUUUUGGAUAUCUUUUAGUGCAACGACCGUCUUGCAUGCAAGAAGAAUUCACGUUAAAUGCACCACAUGGACCAUGUAUCAUAUGAGUUUUAACAAUGUCGUAUAACUCGGAAUCUGCAAUCGGACUUGGAAUUUCGGCACUGAUUAAACUGUCUACAUCAUUAGGUCGAACCUUAUCUUUUAACCAAAGCAGGAUAUGUGCGUGGGGUAAGCCGCGUUUUUGCCAUUCAACACUAUACAUAUAACACAAUACUUCUCCAAAAAUGUUAUCUUUGGUAAAUAGAUCUAUCAUUGAUUUUAAUUUUAAAUGAAAAACUCUUGCGAUGAUAUCAUGGCGGUCAUGCGGUGCUUGACCCUCAAGAAGCUCCCGAGUGAUUUCAUCCCACUUAGGAUUGGUAGUUACAGUAAUAAAUAAGUCGGGACGUCCAUAUUUUCUUACGUAACAAAAAGCAUCUUGAGUACGUUCGUGCAUGUAGCGUGGACCACCAGUAAAAGAAGAGGGCAAAAUAACUAAACGGCCCAUAUUCACCGUAUCAUUAUCUUGCUGCAUGGCGUCGCGAAGGUGCACGUAUUCUUCAGCGCGCAGCUGCCUUUGAUUAGAUCGUAUAUAAACUAAUCUUUCGGUUUCAAUUUUUGCGUACAUGUCUACAAUAAACUGAUUGAAUAAGCCACGAAAACGUUGCAAGUAUACAAACCUAUUCCGUCUUACUUGCAAUUGGUAACAGUAAAAUUGAAGGCAUGAAAUCUUUUUAUUAUAAAUAGGUGCGCCUGUAUGCGGAUCAGUUUGGUAUAAAGCAAAAUUAUAACCAUCUUCCCCUCGACAAUAUAUCAAAGGAUAUUGCAAACCGUCGUAAGCCCUGUGGGUUUCGUAAAUACGUUGUAAACGAUUGUCUCUGGAACGGAUAACGAUAUCACGCCUAUCACAUUCCUGGUCGACCAAUACCACAGCAACUUCAUUCGUGGAUGGAGCAUUAUAACGCCCAGGGUGUUCCUGCGUUGGACGCCUAUCGGCAUUUAUAACAAUUUUAUAAUUGUUAUCAUCAUCUCGAGGAAGAGCUUCUAAUGCCGAUUUAAAACUGCAUACAUACGAAUUAAUCUGAUGCAACAUGUUCUGAAGUUGUGAAAUGAGUUCAGCAUUUAAAUUUGGGAAAUAUUGAUUUCUUAUAUUCGACUGUUCGUUGUAGUCGGAUACAAAAUAUAUUUGAAGAAACUUAGGUUGGUCUUCAGGCAAAAGAGAUCCUAUCAAAUGGUAAACCUGACCUUGUAUUUUAAAAGUAGGCAUGAAAGGACCUUCGGAGAUUUGUUGAGCACCAAAGGAUGUCAUCUGAAACGCACUAUUAUAAGUGCGAAUGUUGUCGAAAAACUGUUUAGAUUGCACAUGUUCCCCUAAAAGUAAUGAUUUCAAAGGUUCCGGUGGGUCUUCGAAUGAAGGCAAAUUUAUUUUACCUCCAGAACAACAGAAUCCAGCCGACUCCUUACUCCACUUUAAAGCAUUACAAAAAGAACAUACCACGUUCAUAUCGCCUAUUACAGAAGAUGAUCUGUAAUCAAUUGUGAAAUUAUAAGCAAACCCACUUUUAUAUUUGUCUGACCACGCCACCGUAUUUCUAGAUUGAUCUUCUAUGUGUACAUCUAAGUUAUUAAGACUAUGACGAAAUCUGUCUGCAGUAAGACGGGCCUCUCGCUGUUCGUCCGUUUCAAGAGACCGAAUAUUUUCGAUUCUUAAUCUUUCAUUAGACAAACUUAUUAAUCGUUCUUGUGUCAAAGAAUUGUAAUGUUCGCGUACCGACUCUAGUCGUUGUUCAUGCUCAUGUUCAUCUUCGAGUGAUCGAACAAUAUUAUGGUGCACCCUAUCAUUUGUCAAACGGUCUUCAUAUUGAGUAAAAGUUUCAGAUUCUCGAGAUAAAAUAUGACGUUCGCGGUCAGCUGUGAGACGCAAUUCCCUCUCAGUGAAGGUUUCUGACUCGCGAGACAAUAUAUGACGUUCGCGGUCAGCUGUGAGACGUAAUUCCCUCUCAGUGAAGGUUUCUGACUCGCGAGACAAUAUAUGACGUUCACGGUCAGCUGUAAGACGUAAUUCCCUCUCAGUGAAGGUUUCUGACUCGCGAGACAAUAUAUGACGUUCGCGGUCAGCUGUAAGACGUAAUUCCCUCUCAGUGAAGGUUUCUGACUCGCGAGAUAAUGUAUGCCGUUCGCGGUCAGCUGUGAGACGUAAUUCCCUUUCAGUAAAUGUUUCGGACUCGCGAGAUAAUGUAUGUCGUUCGCGGUCAGCUGUGAGACGCAAUUCUCGUUGUGAAGCAGUUUCAGCUGCUCGGGAUAACACAUGUUGUUCUUGGUCAAUGGUAAGCCUUAGCUCUCGUUGAGAAAAGCUUUGAGACGCCCGUGAUGUAGCUCGUCUCGCUCUGUCAGCUGCUAAUCGCAUCUCUCUCUCUGAAGAGCUUUCAUUGGCUCGAGAAGUUGAGGCACUAACUCUCAUAGAGUUUAACCGAUAUGCUCUUUCCUCUGCCGAUUCUUGAGAACGCGCAUUUCUCAUCCUCUUAGCAUCUCUAGAAUUUCGAGAUAAAGAUGGUCUUUUUUUAGGUGGCAUUGUGUAUUU